GACGAACGCUGGCGGCGUGCUUAACACAUGCAAGUCGAACGAGAUCCCAUGUGUAGCAAUACACAGGAAGAUCUAGUGGCGAACGGGUGAGGAACACGUGAGAAACGUACCCCAGACUUUGGGAUAACAGUCCGAAAGGACUGCUAAUACCAAAUAACGUCGGAAGUCCGCAUGGACAUCUGACGAAAGGGAUUCCGGUUUGGGAGCGUCUCGCGGACCUAUCAGCUAGUUGGAGGGGUGACGGCCCACCAAGGCAACGACAGGUAGCUGGUCUGAGAGGAUGGUCAGCCACACUGGGACUGAGACACGGCCCAGACUCCUACGGGAGGCAGCAGUGGGGAAUCUUGCGCAAUGGGCGAAAGCCUGACGCAGCAACGCCGCGUGCGGGAAGAAGGCUUUCGGGCUGUAAACCGCUUUCAGUAGGAACGAAACUGACGGUACCUACAGAAGAAGGAGCGGCCAACUAUGUG
rnacentral:rRNA from 1 species